rnacentral:rRNA from 1 species
AUUGAACGCUGGCGACAGGCCUAACACAUGCAAGUCGAACGAGUGGCGGACGGGUGAGUAAUGUCUGGGAAACUGCCUGAUGGAGGGGGAUAACUACUGGAAAAGGUAGCUAAUACCGCAUACCAUCAGAUGUGCCCAGAUGGGCUUAGCUUGUUGGUGGGGUAACGGCUCACCAAGGCGACGAUCCCUAGCUGGUCUGCGAGGCUGACCAGCGACACUGGAACUGAGACACGGUCCAGCCUCUUACGGGAGGUAGCAGUGGGGAAUAUUGCACAAUUGGCGCAAGCCGGAUGCAGCCAUGCCGCGUGUAUGAAGAAGGCCUUCGGGUUGUAAAGUACGUUCAGCGGGGAGGCGUUACCCGCAGAAGAAGCACCGGCUAACUCCGUGCCAGCAGCCGCGGUAAUUC